UACGAAGGGUGCAAGCGUUAAUCGGAAUUACUGGGCGUAAAGCGUGCGUAGGCGGUUGUUUAAGUCUGCUGUGAAAUCCCCGGGCUCAACCUGGGAAUGGCAGUGGAUACUGGGCAGCUAGAGUGUGAUAGAGGAUGGUGGAAUUCCCGGUGUAGCGGUGAAAUGCGUAGAGAUCGGGAGGAACAUCAGUGGCGAAGGCGGCCAUCUGGAUCAACACUGACGCUGAGGCACGAAAGCGUGGGGAGCAAAC
rnacentral:rRNA from 1 species